GGGGGGGGGGGGGAGGGAUCCUGAGGGCAUAGUGACAGCAUGGAGGCCUGGCUAUAAGGGGUCUAAUUCCCAUUUCUAGUGGAAACUUGGAAGCAAGGAGCAAGUUGCAAUUGCUAUGAUAACAGUCAUAAUAAUAACAAUAAUAAUUUAUUUAGCAUAUCAUUAGAUGUGUAUUUACUGUCUUCCCUCUGCUUUUUUACAAGUGUCUCCUAAGGAAUUCUCACAACACCCAGGGGAAACAAUAAUAAGCUAAUUACCACCCUCCGGCUCCUCCUCCUCCCAUCCACGGAGCACUUACACAGCCCCUCCUCGUGUUUACACCUAUUUAGCACAGUCUCCCCUUCCCAAUUCUCCUCUCGCAUUCCCAGUUUUUCCCAUCCCUGUUAAGGGAAUUUCCCCCUAAUCUGGGGUGGGGGGAAAGGUUGGGGAGGAGAGUAGCUGAGCCCCAGAGAGUUUUGGGUAUUAAUGUUGUUUCCCUGGCCUCACAGCAAUGUUUAGGAUGAUGUGGGAGGAACCAGAUUCUUCUCUGAUUGUGCUUUGGGGGGCAGAAAUUGCCUGCACAUCGUUUAGAGGCAGACUGGGUUAGAGAGGGGACGGGUGCCUGCAUGAUGCCAGAACAUCGGAGUCAAGUGCAGGAGAAUGGCUGGUCCUGCAAAUGUAACAUCGGUAUCAGGGGCUUUCAGACUGUUCAGGCCAGACCUCAGAGAUGCCGGGCCCCAUCUAUCCCCCCAGUCUCUUUUGGCAUUGAGAAAAGAAAAAAGAGGGAAGGGAAGGGAAGGGAAGGGAAAGGAAGGAGACAUGUGCAUAUAUAUAUAUAUAUAUAUGUGCAUAUAUACAUUUGUAUAUGCACACAUUUUCGCACAUAUAUUUUUCCUGAGUGAAUAAUCAUGACCAUGGCUACACUUUUUAAAAUACUCAUUUCCUUCCACUUUAAAUAAAAAAUCGUAUCUUCUCAGAGAUUACAAUGAAAACACAAACCAGACACGUGUUUUUGGAUGACGGAUUGUGAGUAGUCUCUUGGACCACCUAAAAAGCCCCCUGGAGUCCCAGUGAUCUGUGGAGCUCACUUCCUCAGCCCCAGCCCAGGGUGGAGAGCCAGAGUCAAUGUCAUGAGAGUCUUCAUCACAGACGGAGCAGCUUGGCCUGUCAUUGAGAUGCUGGGUGUUGCUGCCCAGAUACCCAGACCCUGAGGUCAGCCUCCGCCUCGCUGCCCAAGUACGCAGUUCACCUGGGAAGAAGCGAGUCUAGGCUAGAGGACACAAAAACCAGGUAUACUCAAUAUAAAGAUGAGCUGGAAGAGUUAGAAUUGAAUCUGCUUCUUAGCUGUCUAAGCCAUAGGUGGCAGAGUUGACGUUUUUGGCAGGUCCCAUAGCCCAUUUGGUGCCUUUUCCUCUUUAUAUAGUCCUCACGCUUUUCUGCUGCCUACACUUUCCACUGUUGGCCUCUGGCCCUUUCAUAUCCCCCGGUUCUAUCAAGACUUACUUGUCCCGAGCCCCACUGUAAUCUCGACUGGGUAACAAUCAGACUGCCAGAUCAGGAAGCCACCAAUGUGUUGACAUGUACAUUCUCCUGGGAAACAGUGUGCUUUUUGGUAGAGGUCUUCAGGAGCCACUGCCCAGAUGGAAGGAAAUAGCCAUAAUGAUGGGAUUUCAGACUCAUGGCAGGUGGCAUGAUAGAAAUUUGUGUGAGGGUAGUUUAUGUUUUUGUUUUUUUUUAAGUCCCUAUCAUGGAGGCAGCCAUCCAUCCUCUCUGUGGAUAAGGCUAUCCUCACCCCGAACCUAAGGUUUCCAAGCUGCUUAGAGGAAUCCAGAACUCUCUCUCUGCAUCUUUAUUACUGAUAAAGUCAUAUUACAGUAAUAUUACUGAUUACAGAUCUUGAGAGAUGAAAUGAAGUUGGAAAGAAACUGGAUUCAUCCAGGUAAAAAGAACAUUAUGCACAAUUUAUCACGAUGUGAGCUUCUGUUUGUUCUGAACAUGGUGGUCAUUCAUUCCAUGACUUAGUUCCAAUUUAUGGACAGUGUCUUGAAGCCCCCUCAAUACUCAUAACCAUAAUCGCUUCCAUUAAGAGAAGAUGACUAUAUGCCAGGUGCUUUAUACUGAAUUUGAUGAGGAAAUGUAAUCUCAGAAAGGUUAAGUCACCUGCCCAAGGUCACAUAGCCAGGUUUGAACCAGGUUUCCCCAUCUGCUAUGUUUUAACACUUCCAAGUCAUGCCUCGUGGGUUAGAUAAACAGCAGAUAGUCAUGGCAAUGAAACUGAUAUUUAAAAAAAAAAAUAGUUUUACAUCCUAUGGACAUACCGGGGGGCGGAGGGGGGGGCACUUGUACACUGGCUCCUACAGUGGCCAAUCCAAGUGCAUGCACACUAUUGGCAUUUUUCUCUCUCUGAAUUCAGUGUUACUGGCAGCCCCUGUGAUUUCUCAGCAUAAUGACUGCCCUCACCACUUGGAGUCCACCCCUUUCCCAUAGCUGAGGCCUCUGGGUUCUAGGGGAGCCCUUGACUUUCCACUAGCCCAGGCAGAGUCUAGCUUCCUCACCAGGGUCAGCCGAUGUGAAACUGAGAAGUAUCUCGAGAUUAAUCUUCAGAACCCCUCACUCCCUGAGCAUCCCUCCCCCAACUCCCCAGCAGUGCUUUUCUUGUUCUAUCCUUGUUUGAUAAACUACCCCAGCGGUGCUUUUCUAUUUGAAAGGAUGUGAUCUGCAGAGGACCGCACUUAACACCUCGUGCUCUAAUGGUGGAGCUCACGGCAUUUCAGUGGCGAGAUAAUUGGGGAGGGGGAAACAGAGUCUUCCCAGGGGCUUUAAACUGCAUCAAUGCAUAAGGCUGAUCCUGCACCUCAUUAUCCAUUAACUUCAGAUGAAAGCUAUCAAAUUGGAUCCCUUAUUCUGAUAUUUGAAACUGAGCAGACAGGGGGCUGAUUUCUCUGCUUUCACCUGACUGCUGGCACCAGGCAGAUACCUUGCCAUUGUCCUGCCUCAUCUUGCCUUUGCCUCCCUCCCCUGGGGGGCAGGGUCCCUAAGGGACACAGCUCCCCAUGGUGUGGCUGCAGGGGCCCUGUGGAAAAGGUUGAGUUGUCAAAUGAGGAGACACCACAGCUAACACCCCCUCUCCCCCACCCCCCACCAACUCUGGAAUGAAGAUGGAGAGUUUUCUGUGCCUGGUUUGGUUCACGGAGACACAUAGUCCAUCAUUUGAUUUUCUACAAAGAGUAUUCCUUCCCUGCCCCCCAGCAUCCUCUAGUUUUUUUUCUCAGAGCUGGAAGGAUCUUAGUGAUGUCCUAAUCGAACCACCUCAUUGUGAAGGAAGGGAAACUGAGGCUCAGACAGACACCAGGACCCAGGUAUUUCGAUCCCUAAGCCGUGCUGCAUCUGGCUCUCUUUGCACUUCAGCUGAAUACUUUUUUCAUCGCUCCCUCUAAACCCCAGGAUCCAAGCUUACCUUCCAUGGCAGUCUACACAGACACCAACAAACGCCAUGAUGGCAGAGCCCUCCCAGCCCAGGAGCGACCACUUUUGGGCACAGGCUUCAGCAUACCCACACCAUGCUCCAUAAUCCCGCUAGAGCCCAUCUGUGAUUUCUGUGAAGUUAAAGGGUCUCUCUGUUCCCCUGGUUUCUGCCCCACUCCCCAGAGCUGGCCAGGGCCUGCAGAGGGGCUGGAGGGCUCAGGCAGAGAGCAAAUGGGUAAACACAACUUUUGUUCCUCGCAGCCUCACGUGAGGACUGAGGCUGCUUUGAAUAGAGAAGUUUCCUUAAUAUGCUGUCAAAGGAAAGAAACCUGUCUCAUGGUCCAACUCUGAUGACUGAAGCCGGGGAAGGGAGUUGAGCUUAAUUAGCAUUAGGAAUGCUGAUUCCACAUAAGAAAGAACUUGCCAGCCUGGAGAGUCCUCUGACGACUGGGAUCUCUGAAUACACCAGGUAAAUUCUCAUCCCCUCUCCCCCCUAUAGUCAAGUUAAGCUCACAGGGUUCCUUCCCGUCCAAAGAUUCUGGUUACUUUUCCCAGUAUUUGGUGGUCUGUCUAAUCUUAGAUUCCCACUGGGCCUUGGCCCUGGGAAACAUUUUUAAAUCUCACGUUGGUCCUCAACAACUUCCCCAUCCUUAAGAAACCAAACAAAAUCGAACCAGUUCAGGAACAAAAUCCGCCAGAUCCCUUAUCAGUCUGAUGUGGGUACAACAGCACUGGCCCGGGAGUCCAGAGUCUUGGUGUCUCUUAUAGGCUGAAUUAUGUUCCUCCCCAAAUUCAUAGGUUGACGUCCUAACCCCCAGUACCACAGAGGGUGACUAUAUUUGGAGGCAGGGCCUUUAGAGAGGUAAUUAAAGUAAAAUGAGGUCAUAUGGGUGGGCCCUAAUCCAGUAUUUCAGGUGUGCUUAUAAGAAGAAAUUAGAACACAGACACAAAGACCACAGGAAGCCAGGACCACGUGAAGAAGACCAUCCACAAGCCAAGGAGAGAGACCCCGAAAGAAACCAACCCUGCCAACACCUUGAUCUUGGACUUCUAAACCUCCAGAACGGCAAAAGAAAUAAAUUUCUAUUGUUUAAGCCAC
rnacentral:lncRNA from 1 species